CCUACGGGAGGCAGCAGUGAGGAAUAUUGGUCAAUGGGCGGGAGCCUGAACCAGCCAAGUCGCGUGAGGGAAGACGGUCCUACGGAUUGUAAACCUCUUUUUCCGGGGAGCAACGGGGUCCUUGCGAGGGCCCGAUGAGAGUACCCGCAGAACAAGCAUCGGCUAACUCCGUGCCAGCAGCCGCGGUAAUACGGAGGAUGCGAGCGUUAUCCGGAUGUAUUGGGUGAAAAGGGUGCGUAGGCGGGCUGUUAAGUCAGCGGUAAAAGGUCGGGUCUCAACCCCGGCCUGCAGUGGAAACUGGCGGCCUCGAGUGGGCGAGAAGUAUGCGGAAUGCGUGGUGAAGGGAUGAAAUGCAUAGAUAUCAAGCAGAACUCCGAUUGCGAAGGCAGCAUACCGGCGCCCGACUGACGCUGAGGCACGAAAGCGUGGGUAUCGAACAGGAUUAGAUACCCCGGUAGUC
rnacentral:rRNA from 1 species